CAGACACAUUUCCUUGUUUACUCUGUGCUCCAUAGAAUGCAGCUUGGAGACAUUUAGUACUAAGGCAUAAGAGGCAGGGAAUAGGUAGAAAUUUGCAUCCAAAAAGCAAGAAUAUCCUAGCUGUUGGAUGCUGUGUAGGCAGAUGCAUCAUUAUUCUUUAGUGUGUUGUUUUCCCCCCCAGAUAUAAUUGCUGCAUUUUUUUAAAAAAACAACACAACAAUUUUAAACAGAAAAAUGGAAGAAACUGAGAAAAAUGCCUCUGGCAGGCUAAGACUUGUUAAGAUAAUGUAGAUUUCUGGAAUUCCUCCUAAUAUGCAUUCUCAGCAUAUACUCUUAUAGCUCCCAAGGUGGCAUUCUAGUGUAUGCUGUGAAUGUUUUUACCAAUAUGAUAAAUCAUUUAAUGAAGCACAAUCAAAACAGAUUUACUAAACAAGUUUAAGUCUCUUCUUUUUUAACAAGGGGGCCUCCAGAGUGUUAGGAAAAGUAAACAACAUUUUCAAGGAUCUCCUACAGUCGGUGCACACAGACACACAAGACUUCACAUCGAGACUUCCUUUGCCAUAACUCUGGGAAACAAUAUAGUGACCUACUUAAUACAGUUUCAUUCCGAUCCCCGCCCUGCACUUUUCAAUAUGUAGAAUGUAAAACAACACACACAGUAUUCAGUGCAUGGCUGGGUGUAGCUAGGAAACUGAAAUAACCAAAUAGCACAGAUACUCUCAUGAGCUGAGAUACUAUAAUCUCCAGACCGGUAAGGGGAAUUACAGUAAUACGCGAACUGAGAUGCAAUCAAUUAUUUAGAAUACAUAGACUGAUUUUCAACAAAAAGUUCACAGAAUAGUUUAUACUAGCCGACCCUGCACAGAGCAUCUGUGCACUCAUCAGGGCCAGCAGUUAUCUCUCCUCCCCUGUCUCUGGCCAUCUCCGCAGUUGGGCCCAGGCUGCCGGGCCGAGUGCCAUCUCUAUGGACGGGCCCACCGCCGACCCGAGUGCUGCCUCUGCAGAUGGGCCCGCUGCUGCUGCCUGCCUCUGCGGCCGGGCCCACCACUGCUGCUUGCCUCUGCGGCCGGCCCACCGCCAGGCUGAGUGCCGACUCCGUCAGUGGGCUGUGUGCUGCUUCUGCCACUGGGCCCGCCGCCGUGCCGAGUGCCUCCUCUGUGGCUGGGCUGGCCACCACUGCUGCUUUCCUCCGUGGCUGGGCCUGCCUGCCGCUUGCCUCCCCGGCCAUGCCUGCUGCCACCUCUGGUCUCCUGGGUGUGCCGGCGCCCAGCCAAUCAGCUGGGACCCAGGACGCACAUUCUAUGGCACACCCAGGAGAAUUAAUAUAAUAGAUAGCAGAGAAAUGAAACAAAAAUGGUUCUCUGUCCCAAAGAGUCUGACAAUUUUAAAAAGACACAAGAUGGAUGCCAGCAAUAGCCACUGGAAAAGAUGCUAUGCAGGGAUGAACAGGAACAGUUUCUCUUCCCAUACUGUACUAAAUAUGAGAAAACCACCACUUGAGAGGUGUUUCUUUACCCAGUUAGCAAAGUUUUGGGUUUUUUAAUCAAAGUUCUCAUUGGUUGUAAGCAAGCCAAAUAAAUCCUUGUUCUCUCAUCCAGGCAGGAUGAAGUAGUAGCUUAGCAGCUUCUGCUUGUGGCUCCCUUUGGAAGACCAGGAAGGGUGCUGAUGUAGAUGCAUAUCUGUGAUAUUCCAUACAGCCUUUUAGGGAUGUACAAAAAAUUUGACCGAACCAAUUCCAAUUCAAAUCAAAACUGCUUGCACAGAAGGGGAUUUGUUUGAAUUGAUUUGAAUUAGUCUGAACUCAAAUCUAAUUUGCUUGAAUACUAUGUGAAUUUGAUUCAAAUUUGCCCUAAUUUGAAUCAAUUAGAAAAAAAUCCCAUUCUGUGCAAGCAGUUUCAAGUCAAAUUGAUUCAAAUUUGAUUUGAAUUCAGAUUUUUCAGAUUUUUUGCACAUCCCUAUAGAUCUUAUUUCCACUGCAGUGUGGAAAUAUAUGUUCACCCCUAACCAGUGCAUGGACUAGAUGAGAGUCGUGCAUGACUUUGUAUGCAUCCACACAUAAUGCGGAACCGCUCCCGCUCCCAUCCGUAUUCUGACAUAAUUGAGAACUCCCUCUCUGCAGUCAGCAAGACUGCAGAGAGGAGGAGGAACUGGCUGCAUGGGCUUACUUCUUGACUGAAGGACAGCUCCUGCAGCCAAUAACAGCCAGAGUGAGGAAGGAGCUUCCUCCCUCAAUUCUGGUUGCCAAAGAGCCAGACUGCAGUGUUGCAUUUGGACAUAACACUGGCACCACAAAACCAGAGGUAGAGGUGGUUAAACUCACUAGAAACUGAAGGUACAAAUCAGAGUCCAGGAGGGGAAUCAAGGGUCCAUUUUCCAUUCAAACUGUGGCUGCACAUAUUCAGAUGUACCCAAAUUUUAACCAGAGGUCCCUUCAACUCUGGUUUUGUGUUACAUGUGAAUGCAGCCUAUAUCUUUAAUCAUUAAGAAAACCCUCUGUUGUUGAUUUCUACAGGAUGCUAAACUAGGCAGGUGUCAAAUCUGAGCAGACAAAGACAUAUUGUUUUAGCAACUAGUGAUCAACUAAUUUUUUAAAACCACUUAGUACAUGUUUAAUUACUUGUUAUGCAGUGAUGAUAAAAGUUCUCCUCUGUAACUAUUGAUUUAAAAGAGCCAUGUAUGUCACCCUUCAGCCCUCCCCCUAAACCCCUUAUUCAUUUGAAUUGUGCUGUCAGAUGUUCAUUGCAUUCAAUAUAAAUGGUCAAAAAGCUCAUGAUAAUUUCCCCUACCUCAUCGUGGGGAAGGGGGAGCAGGUAGUUCAUAGUAGAUUGCUUACUUUCAUACAAGAGAGGCUACACAUAAUUUCAUUUUAGCCAAGAAGAAGCCUUGGGGCCUUUUCUCUGUGGCAGUGAACCUUCUGCCACUUGUCACCCAAGGCUUAGAGAAGGCUGCAGUGAGGGUAGCAUAGCAGUGGAGGCAUGCUGUGCACCCUAUUUUGAGUUGAUUGCAACUUGAAGACUUACUAAGAAUGGGGUUCACACACUGAAGGAGGUUUUGAAGUCUCACCCAAGUCAUGAUUUAAAGGUGCCGGCACAAUGUUUUGAAGGUGUCUUGACCUAUUUUGUUCUGCCCAUUCUAGCAGAAGUAGGCAGCAGCUAGGGGGAGCCUGGCUUCCCACAGCCAAAUUGUGGAAGUCUUUUGGAGCCAUACUGUAUACUGGGAUUGUUAUGAGGAACAUUUCCUAAAGAGAUUGGCAUUAAUCUCAGAGUAUGGCAGAAAAAAAAGAUAGCUAAGCUGGAGAUGUGAAUCAUAGCUUUUAGAUGGAAGACAAGCUGAAAAGAAACUGAGUUGUAAGUUUAGAAAAACAGGAAACCCCUUAAGAAUUUCUCAGAAGCUGAUGUGAUCAAGUGAACUGUCAAAGAAAACUAAACCUGCAUGGAGAAUGAGGACAACAGCAGAUUGACCAACAUCUGGGGAGAGGAUAUUUUCCAUCACUGUCCUUCCAGUGAUGGAAGGACAGUGAUAUUCUCCAUUACAGGGAUAUUUUCUGUUACUGUCCUUCCAGUAAGCCACCCAUGCCACUGUGAAGGGCCUAGAACUGUAGACUCCCCAUCCACCAGGGUGAGAAGAUGCCCCACCUCCUGCCACCAGGACAAACACAUCUCAUGCUACCUGCCCCUAACCUGUAACCUCCCACUUCUGAGGGGAAAUUUAUCUCCAGUGUCACCCGAGGACCUCAUACAACCACAGUUGGAAUUUUAAAGAACCUGACACUACACCUGGAAGGAUACUGAACAAUACACAGGCCUGGACAUUGGUGAAUAUUUAGAAGAUGACAAUUCCAAAGUUUCAACAGUGAGAAUGCCUUUCUGUAUAUUUUUGCAGCCCUGAUAGAAGACAGAUGACAUGUUUAAUAGAAUCCUUCAAGGCUGCAAUGGAAUCUUGUCAAGGUGGCCUCUUAGAUAUUACAAGGUCUUCUGAGGACCCUGCUUCAUGUGCCAACACUGGCUGAGGCUUGAUUGUCUUGCAUAUGAGACAGGGCAGGGCCUUCUCAGCUGUUGCCCCCAAACUAUUAAUGCCUUCCUGAGAGAGGUCCACUCACUUUCCUUCUUCCUGGCCUUUCAUAAGCACCUGUCAACUCUCCUUUUUACACAGGCCUUUGGCUGUGGUUUACAUUUGUUUGUCUUAUUAAGGCCUGUUUCUGCAUAUUUUUAGUCUCUCUACUUUAUGAUGGAUUAAAAAAAAAAUUCCUGCU